rnacentral:rRNA from 1 species
GGAGUUUGGGCCGUGUCUCAGUCCCAAUGUGGCCGUUCACCCUCUCAGGCCGGCUACUGAUCGUCGCUUUGGUAGGCCGUUACCCUGCCAACUGGCUAAUCAGACGCGAGUCCAUCCUUUACCACCGGAGUUUUUCACACUGUACCAUGCGGCACUGUGCGCUUAUGCGGUAUUAGCACCUAUUUCUAAGUGUUAUCCCCCGGUAAAGGGCAGGUUACUCACGCGUUACUCACCCAUUCGCCGGUCGCCACCAGGGAUUGCAAGCAAUCCCAGUGCUGCCCCUCGACUUGCAUGUGUUAAGCCUGUAGCUAGCGUUCAUC